rnacentral:rRNA from 1 species
AGUGAACGCUGGCGGCAGGCCUAACACAUGCAAGUCGAACGGCAGCACAGGGGAGCUUGCUCCCUGGGUGGCGAGUGGCGGACGGGGGAGGAAUACAUCGGAAUCUGCCCAGUCGUGGGG